rnacentral:lncRNA from 1 species
UUGGAGGCUCUGGUAUGCUCUGAUGGUAGGAGGAGAUGGUACAGGGAGGCCACAAAGACUGAUGCUCUUUGGUUCUCCAGUUGUCUUUCAGGAGGUGUAGCCUGGUUGUGGCCUGGGGAGUUUGGCUGUUCUGUGUGGUGUGCCUCCACGGUGUGGUCUCCAGUGAGCUGCUCAGCAGGUGUAGACCCGGGCAGGGCGAAGCUCUCUGGGCUGUUGACUGUGAGGCCCCUCCCCACCGGUAGAUUUCCAAGCCUCUUCAGUUUUGCAUUCAGCCACAGCAGGAUCCAAACUUCAGUGACCUGAGUACCUGUCACACCUAUUUGUUCUGAAUAGCCCCUUUGAACAGAGCCUUUCUUGACAGAGAAAAGGAGUAUUG